UACAGAGGGGGCAAGCGUUGUUCGGAAUUACUGGGCGUAAAGGGCGCGUAGGUGGCCUUCUAAGUUGAACGUGAAAUCCCUGGGCUCAACCCAGGAACUGCGUCCAAGACUGGGAGGCUUGAAUCCGGGAGAGGGAUGCGGAAUUCCAGGUGUAGCGGUGAAAUGCGUAGAUAUCAGGAGGAACACCGGUGGCGAAGGCGGAUCUCUGGGCCAUUACUGACGCUGAGGAGCGAAAGCGUGGGGAGCGAACAGG
rnacentral:rRNA from 1 species